rnacentral:lncRNA from 1 species
GGCAUUAUUCUGCAGGAUCUAGUUUGGGCACGGAUACCUUUAAGACUCUGUUUGCGAGCAAAAUUAUGGAUAGAAAAGUAAGCAUUUCUUAUGACAAAUUAGCCAAUUCUUCUCUACUCCAAAAUAUGUAGACAGUAUUUAAAACUGAUGGCAGAAACUUGAUCAUUUAAUAGUUAAAAGCUGCAUCAAAUCACUUCCAACAUACAUGUUGAAGUAUCUCAUUCCUAGCAUUGAUUUCUAUGGAACUAUUUGUAGGCUGUUCUUUUAGUCUAUUGAAGCACUGAAUGUUUUCUAUGAUUAUCUUUGCAAUUGACAAACUGGUUUUUAUGUUUUUAUUUGACAAAGAUUUUGUGGAUAUGGUAAGUCCCUUUCUAUAUAUAGUCAUUGCAAUGUACAACUAUAAAUUCAAUCACAUUGCAAAUGAGCCUCAUUUAAUUCCUGAACAUUACCAUAACUCCAUAAAACAUUCAUUUAGUUUGGAGCUACAAGUCUCAUAUAUUGCUUUGUUCAUCCUUUGUUUUCUGCUAUUCUAUUGCUUCUAAUUUAAGGACGAUGAAAUUUUCAUGGUUUAACCUUUUGUUAAAGCCAGUACUGCUUAUAUUUCAUGAAUUAUCCAGUAUCUACUCAUGAAAAUUUUGAAUUCUCUUUGGAUGUGAAGGGAGAUGUUGAUAGGGCUUGCGUCAGUGUAUUGUUAUCCUUUCCAACAUUGAAGAGCUAUAAUAUAAAAGACAGCUUUGGUUCACCAAUGCAGUGUUGAUCAACUCUUCGAUCGGGGGCUUAUCUGAGGUUUGUCUGAGCUGAUUUUUGGAUAAUGGCUAGUAGGCUUGAGGAUUUCAAUUUGGAUUUUCCAUACGAUUGGG